AACACUUGUUUUGCAUGCAUGUUAUAGUGAGCGCAUCCCUUCUUUCUUUCUUUCCUUCCUUCCUUUUUGUAGGCUUUCCUCUCUUUGUGGGGGUGGGGAAGGAGGAGAGACGAUCAUCUUCCUCUGAUCUCACCCUAACCCUCACAAACACGGUUUCCCUCACGCGCUGACAUCAAAUGUUAACCUUAUCUCUCUCUCUCUCUCUCUCCUUCUCCCUCUCUGUGGAUCUGCUGCGUCUUCUUGCAGAACUUCUCUCCUCAGAGUGAUAAUCUGUGCAGACUGCUGUUAUGAACCCAUCCCGCUCCUCCACUCAACGCGGCGCUGGCCAAAGAAACCCAGGAGGCUCGUGACCUGUAACCCCAGUAAACCCUGCCCCCACAUAGCUCCACCAUCAGAGGUUUGAAUCCCGUCCUCGGCUGUGUGGACGCGGUGGUGAAGUGGAGCCUCACUUGCCUCCUUUCCUGAGUGAACUUUAACCUAUUUUCCCAUGCAGCCUUUACUCGGCGCCUGCGGCCUCUGAUUGGCUGCAGUUGAAGUAGGAGAAGAUUGCAGCUGCACUUUAUGACUUCAUUCAUUUCAUUGGGUUGUAUUUGAUGUGGUGGAGGCUGCUGCUGAUAACAGAGGGUUAAUCUCGGCCAGUGACACACUGAGCUCAUUUUGGACAAAUCUGAGGUUAAAUGAAGAUAAACACAGUUUGUUUGUUUAGUGAGGGCAUGUUUUGGUUCAAAACCAUUGUGAGGAUGUAUUAGCAGCUCCUAUUAUCUACAUGUCAACAUAGUAUAACUAAAUUCAGUUUACUGUGCCUUAAUCUGCUUAAACUAUUCCUCAUCCAAGUACAAUUUAUUGUCUACUACAUGGGUCUGCAACCUUUAGUAAGAGAAGAGACAUUUAUGUUCCCUCUCCACCCAAAUACAAUUCAUCUGGAGCCGCAAAACCCAUUUGACCCAUAAAAUUAAGAUUUUUAUUCAAAUAAACUACAUACGAAAUAAUGAGUUUGUUGCAUUAAGAACUGUAAAAAGAAAACUGUUGACACUUCACUGCUGUUUAUAGCCAGGAUGAUCGUCUCUCCUCCUUGUGUUUAAAGCCAGAAGUAUUCUUGUGUGGUACUCACAACAUUAAGAACAUUGUAUAAAAUACUGUAAAUAUGUAAAUAUAUGGCGAUGGAACUGAAGUAGCAUAUACAGUGAGUUGUGUGUAAUAGGAAUGGGGUAGGUUAUAUAACAGAACUAUGUUGACCUGAUAAAAUUAAAAGUGACCCACUUUAAAAUAAAUAAAACAAUGUUUGGCUUUAA